rnacentral:rRNA from 1 species
UACGAAGGGGACUAGCGUUGUUCGGAUUUACUGGGCGUAAAGCGCGCGUAGGCGGAUCGCUAAGUCAGGGGUGAAAUCCCAGGGCUCAACCCUGGAACUGCCUUUGAUACUGACGAUCUGGAGAUCGGGAGAGGUUGGUGGAAUUCCGAGUGUAGGGGUGAAAUUCGUAGAUAUUCGCAAGAACACCAGUGGCGAAGGCGGCUCACUGGCCCGGUACUGACGCUGAGGUGCGAAAGCGUGGGGAGCAAACAGG